rnacentral:SRP_RNA from 2 species
GCCGGGCGUGGUGACUGGUGCCUGUAAUCCCAGCUACUCUGGAGGCUGAGGCAGAAGAAUCGUUUGAACCCAGGAGGCGGAGGUUGCAGUGAGCUGAGAUCGUGCCAUUGCACUCCAGCCUGGGUGACAGCAAAAUUUCAUCUCAAAAAAAAAAAAAAAAAAAUUCAAAGAAACCUGUUUUUUUUUUUUAGACAAGUUUCACUCUUUUGCCCAGGCUGGAGUGAAAUGGCACGAUCUUGGCUCACUGCCCCCUGGGUUCAAGGAUUCUCCUGCCUCAG